rnacentral:rRNA from 1 species
GAUGAACGCUGGCGGCGUGCCUAACACAUGCAAGUCGAGCGAACAGACGAGGAGCUUGCUCCUCUGACGUUUGCGGCGGACGGGUGAGUCACACGUGGAUAACCCACUUAUAAUUCUGGGAUAUCCUCGGGAAACCGGAGCUAACACCGUAUAAUAUCCUGAACCGCAUGGUUCAAUAGUGAAAGUCGGCUUUGCUGGCUCUUAUAGCUGGAUCCGCGCCGCAUUAGCUAGUUGGUACGGUAACAGCUUUCCAAGGCAACGCUGCGUAGCCGACCUCAGAGGGUGGUCGGCCACAUGGGAAGGGAGACACGGUCCAGACACCUACAGGAGGCAGCAGAAGCAAAUCGUCCGCAGUGGUCGAGAACCUGGCAGAGCAACGCCGCGAAAGAAGAAAAAAUCUUCGGAUCGUAAUACUCUGUUAUUGGGGAAAAACAAAUGUGUAAGUGACUGUGCACGUCUUGACGGUACCUGGUCAAAAAGCAGCGGCUAACUACGUG